ACGGCCCUGCAGAGAACAGGAGACCUCACUGCGGCCAGACCUCUGCUGACCCCAACAGCACAAGGCAAAUGGGACCUCACUGCAGUCAGACCUCUGCUGACCCCAAUAGCAUGAGGAACAGAGGACCUCACUGCAGUCAGACCUCUGCUGACCCCACCAGUGCAAGGCUGGGUCAAGGGCACUGAGGACAGGCAGCGACCAUGGGCUCCCCUCCUGGGCCCUGCAGGCCUCCCAGGCUGACACUGGCAGGGGCAAGCGUCCCUCCUGCAGACCUCGGUGCUCCAGGCCUGGCAACAGCAAGCUAAGUUCUCACACUUCCUCCUGGGUUCCCAGGCUCAGGCCUACCUCCCUGGGAGUGGGAGGCUGGCAAAGACCCUACUGCACUCCUGCUCCUCCCCUGAGGCUGAGCUCAGGGACCAGGUGACCCAGCUCCUGUCCCCGCCCUUCCUGAGGCUGCAGGCACUCACCACAUGUCGAUGCUGGUGGUCUGCGUAGUGGUUCCCAGCAGCAGCUCGGGGGCUCGGUACCUGCACACAGAACGCCACCUCAGCAUGGCCAGCUCUGUUUCCCAGCCCCAGCCUCCACAGGACAUGGCCUCCCUGAGAGCCUGCAGGCCUGGAAAGUACUCCAGGUGGGACCACCCUCUGCCCCAAGCCCUGCAAUCCAGGUGGCCCACACAGCAACAGCUGCUGGUGGCGAGAGCCAUCCCGCGCAGCUAUGUCCUGAGAGUCUCCAGGACCACGGCCCUUAGCACACAGCCACACCAGCCACCACCAGCCCAUUCUGACGGGGACCACACAGCACCCUGACAUCCCCAAGGAGCGGUCCCCCAGGCACGCCUGGUCCCCAGGGGCCACCAUGCUUUCAAGGAACUCACCAGAGAGUGACCACCUUGGGGGUCAUCGGCUUUACUGGGACGCCAUAGGCCCGGGCCAGGCCAAAAUCCGCUACAGCAGAAAGAGGA